AUAGGAGACAAGAAGGCAUCUUCUUGUUUUUAAAAGACCUAGCAAUAGGUAUGCUUAGGGAGGAGCUUGCGUCACAUUAGUUAGUUGGUGGGGUAAAGGCCUACCAAGACUAUGAUGUGUAGCCGGGCUGAGAGGUUGAACGGCCACAUUGGGACUGAGACACGGCCCAAACUCCUACGGGAGGCAGCAGUAGGGAAUUUUCGGCAAUGGAGGAAACUCUGACCGAGCAACGCCGCGUGAACGAUGAAGUAUUUCGGUACGUAAAGUUCUUUUAUUAGGGAAGAAUAAAUGAUGGAAAAAUCAUUCUGACGGUACCUAAUGAAUAAGCCCCGGCUAACUAUGUGCCAGCAGCCGCGGUAAUACAUAGGGGGCAAGCGUUAUCCGGAAUUAUUGGGCGUAAAGGGUGCGUAGGCGGUUAAAUAAGUUUAUGGUCUAAGUGCAAUGCUCAACAUUGUGAUGCUAUAAAAACUGUUUAGCUAGAGUAAGAUAGAGGCAAGUGGAAUUCCAUGUGUAGUGGUAAAAUGCGUAAAUAUAUGGAGGAACACCAGUAGCGAAGGCGGCUUGCUGGGUCUUUACUGACGCUGAGGCACGAAAGCGUGGGGAGCAAACAGGAUUAGAUACCCUGGUAGUCCACGCCGUAAACGAUGAGUACUAAACGUUGGGUAAAACCAGUGUUGAAGUUAACACAUUAAGUACUCCGCCUGAGUAGUACGUACGCAAGUAUGAAACUUAAAGGAAUUGACGGGACUCCGCACAAGCGGUGGAUCAUGUUGUUUAAUUCGAAGGUACCCGAAAAACCUCACCAGGUCUUGACAUGCUUCUGCAAAGCUGUAGAAACACAGUGGAGGUUAUCAGUUGCACAGGUGGUGCAUGGUUGUCGUCAGCUCGUGUCGUGAGAUGUUGGGUUAAGUCCCGCAACGAGCGCAACCCUUAUUGUUAGUUACCAGCACGUAAUGGUGGGGACUUUAGCAAGACUGCCAGUGAUAAAUUGGAGGAAGGUGGGGACGACGUCAAAUCAUCAUGCCCCUUAUGACCUGGGCUACAAACGUGAUACAAUGGCUGUUACAAAGGGUAGCUGAAGCGCAAGUUUUUGGCGAAUCUCAAAAAAACAGUCUCAGUUCGGAUUGAAGUCUGCAACUCGACUUCAUGAAGUUGGAAUCGCUAGUAAUCGCGAAUCAGCAUGUCGCGGUGAAUACGUUCA
rnacentral:rRNA from 1 species